AUAUGGAUCACCUGGGAAUCUUCUUAAGAUGCAGAAUUUUAUUCUGGGAAGGGGCUCAAGAUUUUGUUUUUCUAACAAAUUCCUGAAGGAUGCUGAU
rnacentral:pre_miRNA from 1 species